AAGCAGCGGGACGUUACC
rnacentral:misc_RNA from 1 species